UUCAGCCUGUACUUGACAUUCAAAUGCAUGUACGAUCAUGCAUCUCAUUUCUCGGUGGUUCCCAAGUCGCCUAAAUAAAGCAUUUCCCAGGGUAGGCGAUCCCGGGGGUUAGGACCGUGGGAGCAGCCCUGGGACCUCUCUGCCUGGGUCAGGAAGGCUGCUCUUUCCGGAAGGGCGGCAGAGACCCUGGGAACUGGACCAGCCCAGCUCGCAAGUAUGAAGAGAAUGCAGGGGGAGGAAGUGGCGGCUCAGAGUCAGCAUGAGUCAUCGUCCCAAUGAGAAUGAGGGCCGAGGUGUGCGCCUUUUUUUUUUUUUGGUCUUGAUUGCGUGGACAUCACUGGGAAUGGAGGGAGCCGGUGGUGACUGUACCGCUCGGUCAGUUUUAAAGCAGCGCUCCGUGCGGGCAGGCUGGGCCUGAGCAUGACUUUGGUCCCCGGGAAGGAACAGCCCUCCGCUUCUCCCUGAAUAACUGGGAGACGGAACAGGAAGCUCUAUGACACACUUGAUCGAAAAUGACACAGACUCAGAAAAACCAGGACUCAGCCCCCCAGCGCCUCUGCCUGCUGCCGGCUGGAAGGCAGGACAAGGGGUCUCCUGGGACCGGAUUCUAACUGCUGUGGACGCUCAGGAUUUCCAUGUUCACUGGGAUGUUUCUGCAAUCUUUUGGUCAUGGAUGGUGCACUCGUGAUGUUGUCUUAUUUAUCUGGCCAGUCUCUUGUGUCUUAAUCCCUCUCCUUCAUUAAAGCAAAACUAAAGAAAACCAAA